rnacentral:lncRNA from 1 species
CCGUUGGGGCUGGUUUCAGCUUCGCAGAUUCGGAAUCGGGUUAUCCCUCGGACCUUGCCGCUGAAACGAAAGACCUCUACGAAGCUCUCGUGCAAUUUUACAAACUCUUCCCAGCUCUAAAAAUAACAAACUGAUUUUAGCAGGCGACUCGUACGGAAUGAAGUUUGCACUAGCAGUUUCGGUAGAAAUUCAAAUUCACGUAAAGUUCCUGUCAACAAGGGGAAGGAAGUCAAAAUCCUGUUCCGAUUCCUGCGGGUAUAUUAGCUUUGAGUGGUUGGGUGGAUCCAACACUUUCCACAAGGUAUUCGUCGUACCUCAGAGGGAUUGGGCUACUGGAUCGAGAACAGUCCCGAUACUAUGAGUCUCUCGAAGAGACAAUGCGAGCAGAAAUGAAGUCGGACAAUUACUUGGAGGCCUAUCGGAUCUGGAGGCAGGAGAUGCGCGGAAUUUUGAAUGAAACCGGACUCAAGACAGGCCUGAAUUUUAUUCUCGACUCGGAGGGAGGAGCAACUUGGAAAGAGCCCAUACUCCGAUUCUUAAAUCGUACCGACGUCCGCAAGGCCAUACACGUCGGGAAUCAUAAAAUAAACCCAAAUGAAGCGGUGCGGUCUCGAAUGGCCGGCGACUGGAUGCGAUCCGCAAGACCCCUGCUAGAGCGCCUCCUAGUGGCCGAGCUCUGCCAAUAGUGUUCCUGGCCGGGCAAGUGGACGUCAUAAACCCGUACAUCUUCCAAUCGGAGGUUCUCGCCGCGCUGAAGUGGCCGCACGCCGAGGAGUACCGCGACGCCAAGAGGUGUCGCUUCCAAGUCGGGGGCCGGGUUGCAGCUUACACGAGGACAGCGGGAACUUUGACCGAGGUCCUGGUCCGCAACACCGGGCACAUGAUCCCGUGCUUUCAACCUGAGUGGGCCUAUGCACUCCUCAACACCCUCGUCACGAACGUCACGAAAUUUCAAUGUGAUGGAUGAAUCGGCGCCUCAUGAUGAGAGCUGCAAAAUAAAAUUUCAUGGGAGGUUUAGGGGCUUGGACGACAAGGCGCAUGUAAGUGCAGUUUUUGAAAAAUUGAGAUAUUCAUGAACUCGACUGAAACUCGUUUGAAAGUAUAUCGAUGGUGAAACUGCAAAAAUGCGUAUAUCGGUUGCGGUGUUUGAAAAUCUCCGCUCUUAUUUUAUUUUUUGAAAGGAAACCGAACCAACAUCGUGGCUUGAAAUUUUCACAGAAUAUUCUUCACAUAGAGAAGAAAAAUAUCCGAAGUGCUCAAUAAAUGAUGCUAAGUGGUUUUCCAUAUGAAAAUAAAGUAUGACAGGAAGUCUGCAACGCCGCAAACCGAUAUACGCAUUUCUGCAGUUUCACCAUCGAUAUUCUGUGAAAAAUUCACAGCUAAAAUCCAUAAUUUGUAAGCAUCAAAAAGUGAGUUCAACCUUCCUUUUUGCCACAUGUAAUUUUGAAACUUUAAACACGUAGUCCUUGAAAUAGCACGAACUGCAUUGAUGCGCUUUCGUCCUCCAAGCCCCCUCAUUUUAUUUCGCUUAAAAAUGAAAUUUUAUUUUUCAAUUUUUUUUAAUAGAAAUUUCAUUUGAGUAAAACAUAAUUACUACAAGAAUAUGUCUUGUAUCUAUCUACGAGUACAUCAUUUAAGUAAACUAAAUCAAUUUCAUUAAAUACACAAAGUAACGUUGGGGAAUAAAAUCAAUAUCUCACAAAAUUUAAAAGAUUUUUCAGGGUCUGCGUUUGCAACCUGCAACAAUCACAAGAAUUCAUUACCUAAUUAACUUCAACAUUUGAUUCGUUGUUUACAAAAAGUCAAAAUUAAAAUCUGACUGUAUUAAUGUCAAUGGCCAAAGUGCGAAGCCACGUUUUUGUGCGGUGUUUCAAAAUUUCCGUCCCUAUUUUGUUUUUAGCUCCUUUUUUUAAGGAAAAACGAACCAACUUUACACUUAGCUUCAAGAUUAUGAAAGUGCAGAAGUGCGUACCUCGGAAAACACGAUUUUCCAGGAGAGUACUUAGAAAAACUGUCUACACUCCUCUUUAUUGUUGUUGGAAGAGUAAUAAUUCUUGAGGAUAACAAGGUUAAGAUGCUUU